rnacentral:rRNA from 1 species
AUUGAACGCUGGCGGCAGGCCUAACACAUGCAAGUCGAGCGGCAGCACGGGUACUUGUACCUGGUGGCGAGCGGCGGACGGGUGAGUAAUGCCUAGGAAUCUGCCUAGUAGUGGGGGAUAACGUUCGGAAACGGACGCUAAUACCGCAUACGUCCUACGGGAGAAAGUGGGGGAUCUUCGGACCUCACGCUAUUAGAUGAGCCUAGGUCGGAUUAGCUAGUUGGUAGGGUAAAGGCCACCAAGGCUACGAUCCGUAACUGGUCUGAGAGGAUGAUCAGUCACACUGGAACUGAGACACGGUCCAGACUCCUACGGGAGGCAGCAGUGGGGAAUAUUGGACAAUGGGCGAAAGCCUGAUCCAGCCAUGCCGCGUGUGUG